UUGAUGCGUCCGAUCUGAUAGCGUUCAACCGAGCAACCAACUUUGAUACUUGGGUUUCAUUAGAGGCUCCUCUAAGGAGGAUAAAAAAUGAAUUCGCAGAUGUACUCAACAAGACACGAAAGAAGCACAACGCUGAUGACAAAUACAAAAAAAAAGAAGAAGAAGAAACCAUUAACAUCCGUAGUGUUUCUUCGAGAUUCUUUUGAGAUUGAGCAGCGCAUUCACGAGCUUAAACCCUCCCUCAAAUCGAUUUCCAGACUAGUUAGCCACUCUUUAUAGGGAGCCACGAAGGAGAUGCAUCCGCAGCAGGACUCCUCACACAUGCUCCACUGCCACUCAAGAAAAGAGGAAACUGGCUUGCAGAAGUGCCAUCCUGAAGGGCGUCGGAUCUAAAAACCAUGUUCUCCUAGACCUUCUGGAUAGGUGGCCCUUCCAUUCGUUAAAGGGCUCAGACCUUCACUUGCGACUCUUCCAAACACACGGCGGGCUCAGAGAGUUGAUUGGACGCCGCAUGUUGUCGCACUUCCACAGAACUGCUGGAUGUAAAGGAUUUCUUAAACUUAACUAGAAUCAUGGUCAUGUUGUCGCAUCCUUCACCGCCAGCAGAGGGUGCCAAACAUCUCUCGAAGACUCUCUCACAGAUAGCUGAAAGUUUGCUUUCCUGCAGAGUUUUCCAUUUAGCAAAUACCUAAGUUAUCUUCUAUAGUU